rnacentral:rRNA from 1 species
AUUGAACGCUGGCGGCAUGCCUUACACAUGCAAGUCGAACGGUAACGGGCCUUCGGGUGCCGACGAGUGGCGAACGGGUGAGUAAUGUAUCGGAACGUACCUUUCAGUGGGGGAUAACGUAGCGAAAGUUACGCUAAUACCGCAUAUUCUGUGAGCAGGAAAGCAGGGGAUCGCAAGACCUUGCGCUGAUUGAGCGGCCGAUAUCAGAUUAGCUAGUUGGUGAGGUAAAGGCUCACCAAGGCGACGAUCCUGUAGCGGGUCUGAGAGGAUGAUCCGCCACACUGGAACUGAGACACGGUCCAGACUCCUACGGGAGGCAGCAGUGGGGAAUUUUGGACAAUGGGGGCAACCCUGAUCCAGCCAUGCCGCGUGAGUGAAGAAGGCCUUCGGGUUGUAAAGCUCUUUCGGCCGGGAAGAAAUCGUAUGGGUUAAUACCCUGUGCGGAUGACGGUACCGGCAUAAGAAGCACCGGCUAACUACGUG